ACUGCUCAGUAACACGUGGCUAAUCUGCCCUUGGGACCGGAACACCCCCGGGAAACUGGGGCUAAUUCUCGAUAGGUGAAGCACUCUGGAAUGAGUCUUCGCCAAAUAGACGCUUGCGUUAUGCUCGUAGGCGUCGCCCAAGGAUGAGGCCGCGACCGAUCAGGUUGUUGGUGAGGUAAUGGCUCACCAAGCCUUUUACCGGUGCGGGCCGUGAGAGCGGGAGCCCGGAGAUGGGCACUGAGACAAGGGCCCAGGCCCUACGGGGCGCAGCAGUCGCGAAAACUUUGCAAUACACGAAAGUGUGACAGGGCUAUCCCGAGUGCCAUCCGCUGAGGAAGGCUUUUACCCAGUCUAGAACGCUGGGGGAAUAAGGAGAGGGCAAGUCUGGUGUCAGCCGCCGCGGUAAUACCAGCUCUCCGAGUGGUGUGGAUGUUUAUUGGGCCUAAAGCAUCCGUAGCUGGCUAAGUUAGUCCCUUGUUAAAUCCACCGAAUUAAUCGUUGGAUUGCGGGGGAUACUGCUUGGCUAGGGGACGAGAGAGGCAGACGGUAUUUCCGGGGUAGGGGUGAAAUCCUAUAAUCCCGGGAAGACCACCAGUGGCGAAGGCUGUCUGCUAGAACGCGCCCGACGGUGAGGGAUGAAAGCUGGGGGAGCGAACCGGAUUAGAUACCCGGGUAGUCCCAGCUGUAAACGAUGCAGGCUAGGUGUUUGGACGGCCACGUGCCGUUCUAGUGCCGCAGGGAAGCUGUUAAGCCUGCCGCCUGGGGAGUACGAUCGCAAGAUUGAAACUUAAAGGAAUUGGCGGGGGAGCA
rnacentral:rRNA from 1 species